CUAAGGUGAGCUCAGGGAUCAUAGAAACAUCCCACAGAACAGAAGAGCAAAAGCUCAUUUGAUUUUGAUUUUCAGUGUGAAUGUGGACUGUGAAAGUAGG
rnacentral:ncRNA from 1 species